GUCAAAUAACACUAUUGAGCAUGUUUCUCGUGUAGUAUUUUAAAUAAUAAAAAUCAAUUAAUUGACAGGAUUAUAACAGCCCUCGAAAUAAUUACCCUUGUGUUUAUGUGGAAAUGAACUUCAUUAAGAGUAAUGACGGGUGUGCAUCAUUGUAACUAUCUCCUCCAGGAGAAACUAACCAACUAUAUACACUGUAUAUAUACACUAACACAUUUUCAUUUAUUAUAUGUGAUCUCAUUACAAUUCACGUAAAAUGAUGAAUAAUCAUGAAUAAUAUUAACAAUAAGAGAAUAAUACCAGAAGUAUCUAAGCUAACUGUACUCGAUCUGUACGGGGGUGAAAUUAUUGCACUUACCUAGUUUAUUGGAUUUAUUUUUCUUUAAUGAAGUUUUUCCUAUUGAAUAUAAUCAAUAGGACUGAUGUACGCGUGCCCGUCUUCCUUCCUCUUCCUUGGAUUGUGAAUCAGAAACGGCCGCUUGUGUACACCGUACCAUUCAACGCAAGCGCAGACGGUUGGUUGCUUCCGAUCGGAUGCUCUGGCGUCACUCCGGACUUUUAUUUAUUGUGUGCAUUUUUCUUCUUCUUGUUGGCCAGUUUAUCGGAAUUUUCUAUUAUUAAUACAUUAACCACUCUCUUAAUAACUAUAUUUAAUAUUACGCUUUAAAUAUUAAGUGGCGUGAUUAUGAUGAACGCACGAAAAGUGACAUAAUUGCAUUUUGUUUUGUAAUUAUGCUGUUUCGCUAUUGUUGCUAUUUCCGGUUAUGGAAAUAAUAUUUACAGCUAUUCUCAAACUUAUCGCAUUGUCAGUUGUGUGUUGUGAUUUACACUCGAAAACAAAUAUUUCACAGUUACGAUUUUCCGUAUAUCUCUUAAUUUCGCUUACGAUAUGAAUUUUAAAUCAAUACCUGAUACGCAUUGUCCGAUGUGUCACAUCGUGUAUUUCCAAACACAGCGCAAUUCUUUCAGAUGCGUGUCACUUGCGCGUUUAAAAAAAUUCACCGCCAGAAAUGUAAUGUGUUAGUCAAUAAAUACCUAAAACGUCACACAAAUAGUUUCUAGUAUCGGUAGAAUAAUAUAUUACUAAAAAUUACAUGUACGUUUAUUUUAUUAAUUUUAAUGAUGCGUUGAUGUCAUUAAUAUAUUCUGC
rnacentral:lncRNA from 1 species